rnacentral:rRNA from 1 species
UGGGCGCAGCCUGAUCCAGCCAUGCCGCGUGAGUGAUGAAGGCCCUAGGGUUGUAAAGCUCUUUCGCCAGGGACGAUAAUGACGGUACCUGGAUAAGAAGCCCCGGCUAACUUCGUGCCAGCAGCCGCGGUAAUACGAAGGGGGCUAGCGUUGUUCGGAAUCACUGGGCGUAAAGCGCACGUAGGCGGAUCUUUAAGUCAGGGG